UCAGCGUCUGCUCAUUUGCAUGUCCCAGAUCACAGCCCUCUGCCCUGAACAUUUAUGAAUCUGCUCACACGCUGUGCAGGACUCAGUCCCAGUCAGGACACAGCAUGGACAUGAGGGUCCCCGCUCAGCUCCUGGGGCUGCUGCUGCUCUGGCUCCCAGGAGGCCGAUGUGACAUCCAGGUGACCCAGUCUCCAUCCUCGCUGGCUGCCUCUGUAGGAGACACAGUCACCAUCAACUGCAGAGCCAGUCAGAACAUUUAUAAUGCUUUAAAUUGGUAUCAGCAGAAACCAGGGAAAGCUCCCAGGCUCCUGAUCUAUGCUGCAAGCAAUUUGCAGUCUGGGGUCCCAUCCAGGUUCAGCGGCAGUGGAUAUGGGACAGAUUUCACUCUCACCAUCAGCAGCCUGCAGCCUGAAGAUGUUGCAACUUAUUACUGUUUACAGUAUCAGAGCUCCCCUCCCACGGUGAUACAAGCCAUAACAAAAACCUCCCAGGAAGCAGAAGUGUGAGGCUGGGCAGCCCCAGCUGCUCCUCCUGAUGUCUCCACCUGCUGAAAAUAUUUCCUAGAUGCAGCCAGGGUUUGAAGAUGACUGGACGAUUUGGUAGAAGGGGUCAGGGAUUCCCUCCUGCAGUGAUUAUCUUUCCUUCUCCUCAACCGCAGCAGCCCUGAAUAU